AGGCAUCUCUUAAAUAUCAAAGGUGAGCCAGUACAGGAUGGACCCGCGUCUGAUUAGCUAGUUGGUAAGGUAACGGCUUACCAAGGCGACGAUCAGUAGCCGACCUGAGAGGGUGAUCGGCCACAUUGGAACUGAGACACGGUCCAAACUCCUACGGGAGGCAGCAGUGGGGAAUAUUGCACAAUGGGCGAAAGCCUGAUGCAGCAACGCCGCGUGAGUGAUGAAGGCCUUCGGGUCGUAAAACCCUGUCCUCAAGGAAGAUAAUGACGGUACUUGAGGAGGAAGCCCCGGCUAACUACGUGCCAGCAGCCGCGGUAAUACGUAGGGGGCUAGCGUUAUCCGGAUUUACUGGGCGUAAAGGGUGCGUAGGCGGUCUUUCAAGUCAGGAGUGAAAGGCUACGGCUCAACCGUAGUAAGCUCUUGAAACUGGGAGACUUGAGUGCAGGAGAGGAGAGUGGAAUUCCUAGUGUAGCGGUGAAAUGCGUAGAUAUUAGGAGGAACACCAGUUGCGAAGGCGGCUCUCUGGACUGUAACUGACGCUGAGGCACGAAAGCGUGGGGAGCAAACAGGAUUAGAUACCCUGGUAGUCCACGCUGUAAACGAUGAGUACUAGGUGUCGGGGGUUACCCCCUUCGGUGCCGCAG
rnacentral:rRNA from 1 species